AUGCUUCCACAGGUGCACAUAUGUGCAGCGGCUAUUCCAGGUAGCAAAUAUAUGUACAGCAGUUUUGUACAUUGGCUUACUCUACCAUACAACCUGGCAGAGCCCCAAGAAAGAUCCUGGCUGUCACAGAUAGUCUCCUGCUUGCUGAAGGAGACAGCUGCCUUCCAGCUAAAUCAGCCCACUUGUUCUGUUAAGUGCCCUUCCAGGCUGGACCUCUUGCAGGUUGCCCAUGCAGCUGUAGGAUCUCAUUGUGCAAUCUGGCAACUGCUGGCAGGUACUGUUGUUUCGUUCCCUAUUGAUCCUGCAAUUAAUAAUUCCUUUAAAAAUAAUGGUGACAGUGUGCCCAUACCAGGGUUUAGAGUAGUACACAUCUCACAUACAGGAAGAUUUUCUUUUUCAGACUCGUAG
rnacentral:lncRNA from 1 species